UUUAAAAAGCAGGUUUUCAAGGGGAAAGCAGUAGGCAAAAUUGCUCUGACCCAUGCGUAAAAAGCACGGGACAAGCAGAAGUAUGAAUGACGCACCAGAAAAGAAAAAUAGAAAGAAUCAGACUAUGCCUAAACUACUUAAAUGUAUGUAAAUAGACUAAAGAUGGUAGUUUUUUAAAAGAAAUGGGGGAAAGAUAAGAUAUAGAUAAGGAAAUAAGAGCAUUCCAUUGAAGGCAACACUUUCCCUCAAAAUGCAUUUUAUGCACUCUGGAAUAACACUUGGGCAGUGCACUGGCACUAAAGAAAUAUAUUUGUGUUUUAAUUUCAGGACAGACAUAUUCAACAGUAGUGUAGUUUCAGCUGUUGCUCUCUGGAAGUCACAUUUGCGUUAUGGUGCAACAGCAAUGGGUUUUAUAGGAAGCCAUUUUGGUUGUGUUGGAAAUCAGUUUGCAAACCUGCUUAGUCUGGACCUGGGAAAUGCGGGUUUCCUUUACAGCAGGUCAGAUAAGGUCUCUUCCAGGAUUGCUGUGAUGUGGACAGAGAAGGGGUGAGGAACCUCAACCUCAGAAACCAGCCUCAGGACUGAAUGUAACCUAUUGUAGAAAGAGUCGUCCGCCGCAGAGCACCCGGCUCCCUUCUGCAGCUGGUGGAAUCAUUCGCUCACAUUGGGAAACAAUUGUUUAUUUAGAAUAGAUUUUUCAAAACUGAUUGCUUUAGAAAAACAGCUGACUGUCACUGGGCAGUUGGGUUCUUCCUCUCCAGCCUGGCAUACAUUUCCAGAGAAAUGCCUUACAAGACGGUGGUUUCUGUAUGAACAGUUGCCUAGGCUUGAUGUAAGAAAAUCAGCUUCCUUUUCUUUUUCUUCACCUGCUUUACUGCCCCAGGAAUGAUCUCAACUCAGCUUGGAGUUGAGUAUAUACAUAGGAAAAGAAGUCAUUUCAUCCUUUCUCAUUUCACUUCUGGGCAUCUUUUGGGCAGAGGACAGAAACAAUCUCAAGCCAAAGAUAUUCUCUUCCGAGCUGCAUUGUGCACUUUGCAAAUUGAGCAAAAAAGAGGGUCAGGCUCGUUUUUAGGGAGACGUUAAGGGCAGGCUGCUGUCCUGGCCAACGCUGCAUCGCAUGCGAGACAGAAGAACGUUUUAGAGAACAAAGCCUAUUUCACUUUAAAAAAUGAAAGAAUUGGCAACGGUUCCCUUUUGCUAAAAAUAAUGACAUGGAAUUUUGGUGAUUUUCAUGUCCAGGCACUUCACAGGUAAUAGAAGGGAGCUGCACUCAAGACAGAAAGCUGGCAGGAAGAGGUGCCAUAACUCCUUUGUACACUUCUCCUUAUUUUCACAGAAAACCUUCCUCGCUUUCCCUUUCGUCCAACAGUGCUGAACAAAACAAGUUCCAGACAAAAAAAAGGUCUGUACACUACUCAAGAACUAGCUUGGAGGGACCUCUGUUUAAACUAUAGAUUGUCAGUUGUGAGUACAGAUCAUAGUGAGCUUUUUAAAAAUUUUGAUUCCUCUGGUUCAGUUUGUCAAUAAGGACCCCAUAUUUUAUACAGAGGGGUAUAUUAAAAAGCAACUGAGAACAUACGUCUUUUAGGAAGCAAGCCUAUGCUUACAUCGGAGUAAAUCCCACUGAACUUAUGCAUACAGUUUAACUUUUAGCCACACUUAGCUUCUACUAUGCCAAGCUGUACUGGAAAGUCCUUCCCAGUCUUGCCUUCACAUGCCAAGACACCAACUUUGUAUUUGUUGUUAACCGUUUAUUAAAAUUUUCCCAAA